rnacentral:rRNA from 1 species
CCUACGGGCGGCUGCAGUGGGGAAUAUUGGACAAUGGGGGGAACCCUGAUCCAGCCAUGCCGCGUGUGUGAAGAAGGCCCUCGGGUUGUAAAGCACUUUCAGUGAGGAAGAACGCCUGGUGGUUAAUACCCAUCAGGAAAGACAUCACUCACAGAAGAAGCACCGGCUAACUCCGUGCCAGCAGCCGCGGUAAUACGGAGGGUGCGAGCGUUAAUCGGAAUUACUGGGCGUAAAGCGCGCGUAGGUGGCUUGAUAAGCCGGUUGUGAAAGCCCCGGGCUCAACCUGGGAACGGCAUCCGGAACUGUCAAGCUAGAGUGCAGGAGAGGAAGGUAGAAUUCCCGGUGUAGCGGUGAAAUGCGUAGAGAUCGGGAGGAAUAGCAGUGGCGAAGGCGGCCUUCUGGACUGACACUGACACUGAGGUGCGAAAGCGUGGGUAGCAAACAGGAUUAGAUACCCUUGUAGUC